rnacentral:rRNA from 1 species
UGAGGAAUAUUGGUCAAUGGGCGGGAGCCUGAACCAGCCAAGCCGCGUGAGGGAAGAAGGUACAGAGUAUCGUAAACCUCUUUUGUCAGGGGAUAAAAACUUGUUUGCGAACAAGGUUGAAGGUACCUGAAGAAAAAGCAUCGGCUAACUCCGUGCCAGCAGCCGCGGUAAUACGGAGGAUGCGAGCGUUAUCCGGAUUUAUUGGGUUUAAAGGGUGCGUAGGCGGACGUUUAAGUCAGCGGUGAAAGCCCGGAGCUCAACUCCGGCGAGCCGUUGAAACUGGGCGACUUGAGUAGGCGAGAGGUAUGCGGAAUGCGCAGUGUAGCGGUGAAAUGCAUAGAUAUUGCGCAGAACUCCGAUUGCGAAGGCAGCAUACUGGCGCCAGACUGACGCUGAGGCACGAAAGCGUGGGUAUCGAACAGG